UACAGAGGGUGCGAGCGUUGUUCGGAAUUACUGGGCGUAAAGCGCGCGCAGGCGGCCCUUUAAGUCUGACGGUGAAAUGCCGGGGCUCAACCCCGUGCCCGCCGCGGAUACUGGAGGGCUGGAGACACGUAGAGGCAAGCGGAAUUCCGGGUGUAGCGGUGGAAUGCGUAGAGAUCCGGAAGAACACCGAUGGCGAAGGCAGCCAUCUGGACCGACACUGACGCUGAGGCGCGAAAGCGUGGGGAGCGAACGGG
rnacentral:rRNA from 1 species